rnacentral:rRNA from 1 species
GUAGGUGAACCUGCGGAAGGAUCAUUACACAUGCCUAGUGCAUAAUCCAACCUUAACUUAGAUUGUUUUCCCCAUUGAGAGUUUACUGUCAUUGGGGUUUAUUUUACUUGCUUUAAUGUUUCAUUUAUUUUGCGAGAUAAAAUAAAAGAAAAUUUUCAACGAUGGAUAUCUGGGUUCCCAUACCGAUGAAGAACGCAGCGAACUGCGAUAAGCAAUGCGAAUAGCAGAAUUCCGCGAGACAUCAGAUUUUCGAACGCAUCUGGCGCUAACUCGUUAGCAUGUUUGUUUCAGUGUGUUAGAAGAGCAUAUCUUAUCAAUUCAAAUAAAUGCGAUUGAAAUUUUAAUUUCUUUCGUUAAAUUAGAAGUGUGAGUCUAGAAAUAGCCUCCAAAACGAAGUAGUCACAUUUGAUGUAUCUCGUUUUGGGAUCAAGGUAUUUCUAAUAUAGAUUAACACUAAAAAAAUAAAUUCUUCUUUGUCAACACCUGAAAUCAAGCAAGAUAACCCGCUGAACUUAAGCAUAUCAGUA